rnacentral:misc_RNA from 1 species
GUUUGACCGCGUGGCGUGUAGAGUUCGCCAUUUUGUUGUGGUUUGCAAGAAGGGCCGUGUUGGGCGGAGUGGGUUCUGAUCGAAGGAUGAGCGAUGAGGACAGGGAUGUGGACGUUGAAAGUGACGAAGACGACGAUGACGGGAGUAUCUGCCUGGAUUCGCCAACGUCGGGAUCUCAGGCUUCUGGCCCAUAUUUGAGUCAGGUAGCGGAGAAGCGGGCGCACCACAAUGCGUUGGAGCGGAAACGCCGGGACCACAUCAAGGAGAGUUUCCACAGCCUCCGUGACUCCGUCCCGGCCUUGGAAGGGGAAAAGGUCUCGGUAGGCAUGAACAAAGAAACAGCCCCCAUGCCUUCGGUUUCCCGGGCACAGAUUCUGAAGAAGGCAGCAGACUAUAUUCAGUUUAUGAGGAGGAAAAACCACAGUCACCAGCAAGACAUUGAGGACCUCAAGAAACAGAAUAAUAUCCUUGAACAACAAAUUCGAUCUCUAGAAAAAGCUAAAUCCACAGGAGCGUUUGCCUCACAGACUGGGGUCAAUCUGCGUGGAGGACAGAUGCCAUUUGAUGGUGGCUCAGAAUCAGAGAGCUCUGAUGUAGAGGACAAAUCAGCAGGGAGUAGACGUAAGAAAUUAAAGACAGCACCCAGCUGAGGGACAUCUGUCAUAUGACGUAAGGCAGCAAAUCAUUGCUCGGGAUUUUAUCCUUCACAUGUUUGUGCAGGUCAACUCUAUGCCAACUGAUUCGUGCAGUCUGGUACAGGACAUGAGGAGAUGGAUCGCUGCGGGGAAUUAGCUGUGUGUAGGGUUGACACUCAUUAUCAUUUUACUGUUCAGCUUCAUGCCAACUAGGACAUUUACUUGCCAGAGGAAUGAUUUCCGUGCCGGAGAAGACGGAGAGUAACUUGUGAGUUCGAGAGGACUGAUCGUAACUUCUGUGGAUUCAAAUGGGCCAACUAAAGAUCUCAAUUUGGUCAUUUUAUUAGGUAAUUCCAUGAAUUGAUUUUCUACUGUUUGCAAGAAAGAGCAAUAUGGUUGGUAUAUUUGUGUUUUAUGUUUUUAUCACUUGAAAAAUAUGCAACUGUAACUGUGUGAGAAAAAUGUUGCCGGAAACCUUUUUAAUUUGAAGAAUGUACAUCUUGAAAAUCAAAUUUAACUUCAAAAUGGACCCUAUAUUUCCCACCUACCUGAUGCACAUUAGUAACAUAAGGGUUCUUGUCAUACAAGAUGCUGAUGUCUGAAGUAGUUUCCAUUCAGAUUAUGUUGUCAUGGUUAUGUCCAUGUCUGAAAAGGAUUCAGCUUGCUCAAAUGCCAAGUGAAACAUAAUUCUAGUUGAUAUGCCACAUUCAAGGCAGUCAUGUUUGAAGAAGUAUGUUGGUGUUUCUGAUAUUACUCCAGUGUUGCUCAAACUGAUCCCCCCCCCCCAGCUGCCAGGGUAUUACCGACUUACAGACAAGCAGUUACCAUGUGUGCUUUGUUAUUGGACCAUGGAGCUUAAUGAAUGCUUCUAAUACAUGUUGCCUUUGAUAGAUAGCAACUUCAGGUUUUACUAAGUGUUAGUCAACCAUUUUUAUAACUGGAAUUAGAUCUGUUACAAAAACUUGAAAAAAAUAUUUCUAAUGCCCUCUGUCUUCAUGAUCUUAUGAAGUAUCAAACCAUGAAAAAAGCACUUUUUCACAUAAUGGCUGUGAUAUGCAGUUAAGGCUAUGAGAUGUAUUUGAAACAAUUUACUCAACUUUUGAUAAGGUUAUUCUGAGUGGCUUCGUUCCAAGUUAAACAAAAAUACAUGAUUCAAUGAUAUUUUGUCCUCUAGUGUGUACAAGGAUAGGAUAACAAAUUCCAGUACCCCUAUCAGUUGUUGAGUGGUAAGCAAACUUGAUAUGAAAUGAUAAACAUACAUAUUCUGUUUUGUUCUUAUUGAAGAAGCUUAUGAUGCUGUUGAAAUGUAGAUGCAUUGUACUAAACCCUGAUGAAACUAGGUAGGAACAUGACCAGUUGCUACCUUUAGUUGUGAUCAGUGCAGGUCUAGUGAAUGUUACUCUUCACAGUGGUGGAGUUCAGAUACUAGAGCUCGUUUUAAAGUUGCCUCGGAGUUUGUUAUAUCUUAAGUGAACUGUAGAUAGAUACUUGAAUUGUUAUGUAUACAUUGUACUAAUUGUUGAGUUCAAGCGAGAACAUUUUAAUUUGGUUGUAGAAAUGACAUGUAUGUUAUACGAACAAGAUUUUUAGUCAAGGUGUAUUUAUUUCAUUCCCAAGUAGGUCUUCAGGUGUAUGAUAAUACGGAAUAGUAUUGUACAUGAUAACAGUACAGUAUUGUAUUGGAUAACAGUAUGGUAUUGCAUAUGAUAACUGACUUGUUGUUAUCCUUCAACACGAUUAAAUCAACAUUUCAUGAUUGAUUAAAGGAAUUUGUAAAUGUUGCACUUUUUAAACUCCUUGUAGGAUAAACAAAUAUUUGUUAAAAGGUUGAGAAAUAUUUUGGGUUGGGUUUGACUGCAUCUCUUCAUUAUUCUGAUAUGGUGAAACUAACUGUAUCAGAUAUGUCAUGUGUAAAUAAAUCCAUUGUAGAAUAUCCCUUGUUGAUGUGACUGUCCACUCCAUUUAGAACUCUAUCCAUGGUGAACAUGUACCCCCUACCCAAGACUGCUGCUGCUGCUGCUGCUGCUGAACUAGGCUGCUUAUGUCAACCGACACCAUGACACAAUGUGGAUAACAACAGGUCAUGACACAAUGUGGAUAUCAACCGGUCAUGAUACAAUGUAGAUAUCAACCGGUCAUGAUACAAUGUGGAUAUCCACAGGUCAUGAUACAAUGUGGAUAACAACAGGUCAUGAUACAAUGUGGAUGUAAACAGGUCAUGAUACACUGUGGAUAACAACAGGUCAUGAUACAAUGUGGAUGUAAACAGGUCAUGAUACACUGUGGAUAACAUUUCAUGAUACAAUGUGGAUGUAAACAGGUCAUGAUACAAAUUGGAUAUCAAACGGUCAUGAUUCAAUUUAGAUAUCAACCGGUCAUGAUACAAUGUGGAUAUCAACCGGUCAUGAUACAAUGUGGAUAACAACAGGUCAUGAUACAAAGUGGAUAUCAACCGGUCAUAAUACAAUGUGGAUAUCAACCGGUCAUGAUACAAUGUGGAUAACAACAGGUCAUGAUACAAAGUGGAUAUCAACCGGUCAUGAUACAAUGUGGAUAUCAACAGGUCAUGAUAUGAUGUGGCUAUGAACCAGUCAUGAUACAAUGUGGAUAACAGGUCAUGAUACAUUGUGGACAUCAACAAGUCAUGAUACAAUGUGGAUAUCAACCAGUCAUGAUACAAUGUGGAUAACAGGUCAUGAUACAAACUGGAUAUCAACAGGUCAUGAUAGAAAGUGGAUAUCAACUGCCCAUGAUACAUUGUGAAUAUCAACCGGUCAUGAUACAAUGUGGAUAUCAACCGGUCAUGAUACAAUAUGGAUAUCAACCAGUCAUGAUAUGACAUGGACAACUGGUUGCCAUACCAUGUGGAGAAGGAGAAGUGGCCUGUAUGUAACUUAAAAGAUUGAUGAUCUCCUUAUUCCAUACAGGGAUAUACAUUGUUAGACUGAUCAGAGGUGCUUACUGACCAGGGUGCUCAUCAGCGAAUACAUCAAUCACCCCAAACAAAAGAAACGUUAAGUAUCAUGCUUCUAAGAAUUCACAUUAUGAUCCAUAAGAACAUGUUACUUUUUUGUUUGAGUAUACUACACAAACAUCUGAGAAUGACAACAUAGUGUAACCAAGGUUACACCUGUCAACAACAUUGGACCUUAUCAUGUAGGAAUAAUGCUAGCAUGAACCAUGUUACACAUUGCGUAAAAGUUAUCACCAACUUCCCAUCAAGUCCCUAGUUGUGUUGCCUUUGUGGCCACUGGUGAGCUGUAUCAAUACACUGGUACGCAACAUGGAAGGUUACUGACUAACCAUUGAUGCUAACCUCCAUGUUCCCAUGCAGUAUAUUCUACUUCUAUGGUUGUAUGUGUUGACCUGCUUGUAGACUUGUUGUAGGCUGAUAACUAACAUUGCUGCUGCUCUACAUCUGACAACAUAGACUCAGUGCUCAGUAAUCAAAGUAUGAUAACUUCCUUCAGUUGUCUUAAGCAUGUUUCAGCUGAACUUUAUCUCAUCUUGAACUUCUCCUAUCUGACUGAGCUGGCCACUGUCCAGAGUUGUGCCUGGUAGCCAUUAGAGGCUUGUGGGUUUGAACUUCAAAGUAGCCUAGACAUGGAUCAGGUGGCGACUCCGUGGCUUGGUUCAUGUCAUCUUACCUUAGUGGCGUCGGUCAUUGAUUAUUUCAAUCGCAGGAUGGUCUGGUCCAGAUUAUACACUUCUCAAAAAGAAGUAAAAGAACACCCGAUUUUCACAUGACCAUAGUUAAUUUGUCAUGGCUGGUGGGUAACCUUCAAAUUGUGAGUGUUCUUUAAUUUGUUUUGAGCAGUAUCUAAAGAUUGCCAUUGUAUAAGGAUGCAAUAUUGCUGAGCAGCAAGACUGAAUGGGAACAGAUGAAAAGAAAUGUGUCCACUAGGCUGUAUGGGCACAUAGCCUAUGUUGUAAGGUACUGCAGUAGGCUUCAUGUUCCCUCCAGCAGCAGGUUUAGUAGUUUUUUAUGUGAAGCAGUCAUCACAGAGUGCAAUGUUUUACCCUUGACAGCAGUGAGCUGCUCUGUAUACUGGUCUAACCAUGAGAUUGUCUUCAUCAUAUGUGUAUUGUAAACUGUAGACUAAAGUGUUGAUACUUGUA